rnacentral:tRNA from 1 species
AUAUUUAUAGUAUAAAAAUUACAUUAGCUUUUCAAGCUAAAAAUAUGCGAAGCAUUAAAUAUC